GGAAGGGAAGGGAAGGGAAGGGAAGGAAAGGAAGAAAGGAAAGGAAAGGAAAGGAAAGGAAAGGAAAGGAAAGGAAAGGAAAGGAAAGGAAAGGAAUGAAAAGGAGGGGGCAGAGAGAAUGAGUUACCAGCCCGGCUCUUUCUUGGAUUGGAAGCAAACACUGAGUGUGCUGGGAGCAUGGCCAGUCCUACCCCAAAGGCCCAGCGAGUGGUUUCCUCUAAAGGGGUGCAGGGAGAUGGUGAGAGGUGCGGAGACAGAAGGAGAAGUUUUGUCAAGAUGGCCCAGCCCCACGGUGGGGGAUAUUGAAGGAAGAGCUCCCCACCACCCUCAAGAAGGUCGUGCCCCCAUUGGAAAUGUCUUGUCCCACGUGACUCCAGUCGACAGGACCAUGAGAAGACGACUCUGCAGCAGAGACUAGCUGUCCGAACAACGGGCCACAGAGAUGGUGCCACUGCCUUUCUCAGGCACGAGGUAGAGUCAGCAACCAGAGGGACCUGCUCGGACGAUGGGCCGGGAGGGGAGCCAUUGGGGGCUGCCUAGGUCACAGGGUCCCCCAGGGAAGCUAAGCUGCCUUGACGGUGAGCCUCCGAGGCCAGAAGAACAACUCUCAGCUCAGUCAGUGUGCCCUUGGCUCAGCAGGCAACUCAACUCAGCUCAACAGGACUCUGUGUUUGGUGAGUGUUUAAUGCGUCUCUUCUGAGCGCUGGAUUUGGGCCAUCCGCCAUGCUAAGCGCUGGGGGUGUAGGAGAAUGCAAACCAGACACCGUCCCUGGUACAGGCCCCUGGGAAGGGCCCAUGUGGGUCUGCGUUCCUACUAAGCCCAAUACCCACAGAGGGAAGUGGGAGGAGGCCGGGCCCUUCCCCCUGUGGUCUCAUUGGCAAGAAGAGACAAGAUGCACCAUGAAACACUCCGAGAACCAGGCCCCGUUUAAAUAGAUAAAUUCCUGGCUCUGCUCACCACACGUGGAAGUGAACAUGGCAGGUUCAGGCCGUGUGUGUCUGUAAGUGCUCUGGGUGGGCCCUACGAGGCAGCCCCCCUGGGGCUGAGGCACUUUCCAAGCUUCCUAGAAGAAUGGAAGAGGCUGACCAUGGGCCUUGAAACAGAUCACAUGACCAUGCCAGCCUGGGAAGUGUGGAUGGACUUGACCAUCUUUCCUGGGUCUUCUUUCCAUCGGCCAGCCCCUCUCGUUCUCCCUCUUCCAUUUCCCUCAGAGCUGGAAACCUUCCAUGGCAAAUGGGUGGGCGCCAGGUUUGGCUGCGUGCGUGCCGUUCACAAAGCUCCGUGCCGGCCGCAGUGGGAUUAUAAACAGCACAGGCCUUACCCUUAAGGACUUUGCAAACCAACUUGGGUUCACCAACUGCGGUAACGGAAGACAGUGGAAGCUGCUUGUAAUGCGCCUGAGUGGGAGGCGGGGACCACAGGAGACGCGACUCCAGUCCCCGGGUACAGGGUCCGGAAUAUGGACGCUGUGCUGUGUGCGCACGCGCCUGCACGCACUUCCUGUUGUUUGUUUUUAAAUCUCAAACUUCAGAGAAAUUAUAGGAAUAUGACAAGUAUUUCUGUAUGCCUUUUCUAAGAUUGACCAACUAUUUACAUUUUGUGGAAUCAUCUGAGAACAGGUUAGAGACAUUUUUGCGCCUUUGCCCUUAAAUACUUCAGUGUGUAUUUCAAGGACAUUGUUUGACAUCACGUGGUUCCCUCAUGGCUGAAACUUCCCCUUGUUUCCAGACCCCACUGGAUCACUCUAGACUCUAAAUAAAGCUUACUUAAUGGCAGAUAGCUAGCCUUUUUUUCUGCUUGAUGCCCUGCUGGUGAUCUGGCCGGUGGGGGGCUGCCUUGGUCACAGGGUCCCCCAGGGACACUCUAUUAGCCAUGGCUGAGUCGACCUGCACCCAGACAGCUGAUCUGCCCCCUUAGAGGCCUGGCCAGGCCUUGGCUGAACUGCUCUCUUCCCCUUCACUUUGUUUUUGAGCUUUCUGUGCCUUCUCCCACCCACAGAUACGAAUGUUGCAGGACACUGGCUUUCUAGUGUGCAGCACGGCCUGGCGGAAGUGGGGAAAGCUUGGUUGGGCACCCUCUCUGGGCCUUGGAUGCCAGUGUUGGCUCCUCUGAACAUAGAGGGAGGCUUCCUUUCCCUCAUUCGCGGGAGGAGGCUCUAUGGCUUGGUCUGGCUCUGAGGCCCCGGGCCCUGCUCAGGACUGGCAGUCUUAGGCCGAGGGAACAUUUUCCAGAGUACAGCUGAGGGACAGGACGUCUCCAUGAGAUGGGCUGGGAUGGGCAGGGCUCUGGAAAGGCUCCUGCUUGUUCUGGGAGGUGUUUCGGAUGUUGAGGUUUUGGAAAGCCAUGGUAGCUGUUCAUGACUGCUCCCAGCUUCAGGAGAAGGAAAGAACGGGUGUCCGUUUCUUGGGGUUCAGUGGCAAAGGUGAAUGCCCAGCACUGCCGAGCUGGGACCAGGCCCUCAGCUGUGCCUGGGGAGGGCACUGGGCUUUGAAGGGGAACACAGCCUAAAGGACUGGCCGCUGCAGUCAUGAGAAGCUGCUCGCAUCCAGUGAGACUUGGCUGGAGCGCUACAGGCCCUGGGCCUGGACACAAAACCAAUGUGAUCUCUGGACCUGCACUCAAGCGUGUCUCUGAUGGAGCGGGUUGGAGAAACCCCAGUGAACCCACGAAACAGAACAUGCUAGAGGCAUUUCAUGAGGCAGAUCAGUCCCACGCAAGGAGAGCCAGGGAAGGGAGAGAACAGAACGGGCCUGCACAGUCAAGAACCACUCUGCGGAGGCGGCGAAGCCUCCCUUUCCAGCUGCCUCUCCCUCUGUUCUGCUUUUGCACACAACCAGCCCAGGUCCAGCUCUGUUCUGUCAUCGUGGGCAAGUCAGUUUACUUCCUUGGGCCUGUUUCCUCCUCUGUGAAAUGGGAAGUGGGGCGCUUGCACCAUCUCCCUGAGGGCAGGCCCAGAGAGAAUCCAGUGUGGGUGGGCUUCAGAGGUGCUUGGAGACUUAGGAAAAGAAGCCCCCACCCGGACUUUGAGAUCCUGCUUCUGCAUAGGUAUUGUUUCCAGGUGGUCCCUGGAGCAGAAGCCAGGUGACUAUGGGGUCUUCACAUCCCCAGUCCCUGACUUCACCCCAGGCUCCACAACCCGAGACCCAGGUCUUUAUUCAUUGACUCAUUCUGCCUGUUGUCCGGGAAGGCCUCCUACAGGUGGGGGCACCCUGGCUUCCCACUCGCCCGCCAGCCACCGGCCCCUCCCACUCGGGAGAUGUGCCAUGCUCAGGGGGGGCCUGAAUGCACCCCUUCUCCUUCCCUAAGAACCAGCCUCAAUGCACCCAUUACCAUUUCCAUGGCGCUCUCCUCCAGGGCCCCAUGGAAAUCACGAGGCUUUCUGAGGACUUGUGCAGACUUCAGAAAAGACCCCGGGCCCCCUGCCCACCCCCGGGCUCUCUGGCCGGCUCUAAUCCCGCUCGCUCGGGGCGCAGAGACAGAGCUCCCUCUCUCCUCGCAGGCCUGGCCACUCACUCUCCCACAGAGCUGACGUUUCUCUGCGGCCCAGCUGGCUGCAGUUUUUAGAAAUAACAAUAUCCCCGGGGGGAGGAGCGGCGGGGUGAAUGGGCGCCUUUGUCCCGGGCCCUGUGAAGCCCGAUUAAUUAUGCGCUGCGGAGCGCGGGCAGCGCGGAGGCCCGGCCCCCAGCGGCUGAAAGGCCCGGGCUUGGGAGCGCGGCCCCGGCUCCGCGCCGCCGCACAAAGGGCCGAGAAUUAGAAAACCGCCAAUUACCCCGCAUUUUGUAUUUGCCCUUGUCUCGCUGACACUGUGGACGGCCCUCCCCGGGCGGCUGCACUUUGAGGGUUUUCAAGCCCUUUCUUGGUUACCAGGGGCGACUGGGCAGAGGGCUGGGGGCUUGGGGAGAGCGGGAGACUUGGGUGGGAUCAUAGGCGGCUGGGGGCGCCUGGGGGAAUGUCGCCCCUGGGGACAUGGCUCUCAACUCUAACGCUCUCUCCGAAGCUGGAGGCUGUGGAGAAUGCAGAUUCCCCGCCCCGCUCCAGAGGACUCCCUGACUCCGACGACGGUCUGGGGUGCCCCGCUGCAUUUUAACAGGCAGUCCAAAUGAUUUGAUUUUUUAAAAAAUUUAAAGUGGAACAGUGAAGUGCCCGGAUCGUACGUGUGCAGGUUUACGCGUUUUGACAAAUGUAUACCUCUGUGUAACCUACAUCCUAUAAAGCUAUAGUGCAAUUCUAUUAUUCUGGAAAUUUCCAUGGAUUCCCCACCCCCUCCUCCUGGGCCCCAAGGGACCACUGUUCUGACUUUUAUCAUCAUGUUAGGUUCCACCUGUUUGGAGACGGUGCUAAGUGGAGUCAUAUGGCAUUCACUUGUUUCUGACCUCUCACUCAGCCUAAAUGUUUUUGACAUCCACCCAUGUUACCUGUAUCAAUAGAUGGGUUUCUUUGUAUUUAUCUGUUCACCUGUUGAUGGAUACCUGGACUGCUUCUAGUUUGGGGUGGUUAUAAAUAAAGCUGCUAAUGAUCAUUUUGUACCAGUCAAGUCCCUUUUGUGGAUAUAUGUUUUAGGUCUUUGGGGUAAGUCUCUAGGGGUGGAAUUGCUGGGUCAUAGGGAAGGGAUUUAGCUUUAGGGGAUACUACCAAACGGCUUUCUAAAGUGGGUAUACAAUUUUGCAUCCCCACCGACAAAGUCUGAGAGUUCCAGCUGCUCUCCUUCCCAGUCAGCACUUGGUGUUGCCUUUUUCACCUGAGCCCUUCUGGGGAGUGUGCGGUGAUAGCUCAGGGUAGUUUUCAAGCCAGGGGAUUUUAAUUGCUGCUCUCCAAUGACCACACUUGGGGAAAACUCUGACCUAGUGCAAUUCUUGCCCUUGCCUGCAAGUUCCAGCAGGGUAAGUGACCUAUCCCAGGCGCAUCACUUGUUGGGCAGAGACUGGAUGAUUACACGGGACUCCUAACUACUAGAGUGCUCUCUCCUUGAGAUGGUGCUGGCCCCUUGGCUUACACCUACCGGGCCUGUGCACAUGUGCUUCUGUGUGUCAGUGUGUGUGUGUGUGUGAAGUGUGGGUCUUGCUCUGCCCAGGACCAUUCAGAAUGGAUCUGGAAGGGCAUUUUUUUCUUUUCUCUUUCUUUUUUUUUAGGUUUAUUUAUUUUUUAGUAACCUCUACACCCAGUGUGGGCCUCGAACUCACAAGCCAGAGAUCAAGAGUCCCAUGCUCCUCUGACUGAGCCAGCCAGACGCCCCCAGAAGGGGAUUUCUGAAGAGUCUCUGUCUGCUACCCAAGCAGCAGCAUCCAUGGGACUCUGGAGCCAAGAGAUUGGGCUUGGCCAGGAAUCCAGCCACAAUGCUAUAUAAGAAGCCCACACCAGCCCGCCCGGAGAGACCAGUGGGAAAACCACGUGGAGAGGCACUGAGGACCCAACCUGCAGUCAGCACCAGCCACCAGAUUGCGAGUGAAUGAGCCUUCAGUGAUUCCAAAGCCCAGCCAUGGAUACUUCCAGCUGAGGCCCCAGAUGACACAGAGCAGAGACAAGCUUUUCCUGCUGUGCCCAGUCCGGAUGCCUGACCCGGAGACUCUGCAAACAUAAGUGGUUGUUUGAUGUGUAGCCACAAUAACUGGAAAGCAGGCAGUCCUGGUAUUCCUUGUAGCCUCUCAAUCUUAUUUCAUAAUCCCCUUGCCCUGCUCAAUUUACCUCUUCUCUUUCAGCGGCAGCUUGGAUGGCACCUGGUCUAGGAGCCCCCCCGGCCUCCCUCUGAGCUGCACUGGGAUCUCCCCCGUGGCACCCCAAGUACCUGGUCGUCUUUGCCUUCUCUGCGCUGUCCUAUGACUUCAUGUCUGGGUGUUUGCAUCCCCCAUAAAUGGCUUCCUGAGAGCUGGAACAGCAUAUGUUUCCUCUCUGGACUUCCAAGAGCCUUGCACCGAAGUGUCUGCUGAAAGAUGGCAUGUCCCUGAAAUGGAGGGAAUGGGGCCUAAAUUAAGGAGAUCACUCCUCGGCUUCCCACUCCCUGCCCUCAUUUCUUCAGGGCCAGGCCUCGAACAAGAGAGAAAAAAAGACAAAAGAUGGUCCUUUCCUUCCAGAGGAUUUCAGUUUAAUGAGGGAGAGAGUAAUAGAAAGACUGGAAGAGACUAGUGUAUCACUAAAUGAGAUCCACAGUCCCCAGAAUGGGGAGAGACCUGCAUAGAAUGGGGUGGUCAGGGCAGGCUUCCUGGAGGGGGCAAGGACUUGGAUGUAAGAGCAGAGCUCUGAAACAAGUCGGGGCACCAGCUGAAGUGGAGUGUGUGUGUGUGUGUGUGUGUGUGUGUGUGUACAUGCGUGCACACAUACAUUGACACAUCUCUCUCCGGGGCUAGUGUCUUGAGGGCAAGCCCGGUCCUAACCAUCUCCUGUUUGCUCCUCUGUCCUCCACCUCGCCGGAGGAAUGGUAUUCAAGUCAAACAGGGUGGGGGCUGGCCGCUAGACGCACACCUGACGAUACACGCGGACCUUAGAAGCGUAGUGCUGACUGAGAAAGCAAGAAACAGAAUAAAAUCUCUGGCACCACGUCGUUUAUGUGAACUAAAAAUACACAGAGCCCGCUGGGGAUGCCGAGUCACUUGCUGGGAGAGCUGUGGAGGUGGCGGUGGGGGGAGCCGAGCCGGAGCAGCGGCCAGUCCAGCCAUAGAAGCAGCAGGAUUUGCAAGCUCUUCUGUUUCGCAAGCCAUGGAGCAUGUGGAGCCCUUAGUAAAAGACAUUUCUCAAAAUCUACCAAAAUCUGCUGUCAGCGGUGGCUCCUACAGAGGUGGGUUUGAACCCCAAAUUGCAAAAUGGGAAGCAGCAUUAAUCCUAGGCAUAAGCAGCAUUAAGACUGAACAUAAGCAAUAAAGGAAAAAGGAGAUGCUCGUUGACAAAUGAUGCUUUUAAAUCACCCAGACAAGGGAGGAUCUCUUUAGCUAGCAGCCCCAAUCAAUAAAGCUAAAGAUUGACUAGAGGGUCAAGCUGAAAAGUAAAGUAAAUGCAUGAUGAAUUUUAAGUACUUACUAGUUUAUGGCUAGGAGUACCAGCCUUUUAUAAGAAAGUGUGUCAAAGCUAAAAACAACAACAAUAACCCUAAACCAAAAAUGCACGUACAUGGAACGGCAAUGUAUGCUUUAGAGGGACACAUACAAGCACAUUAAUGUGGUUGCCUUAAGGGGUGGGGUGCACGGGGGUAGUGAGCGAUGAUCAGAGGGAUAAAAUAAAACAAGAAAGGGUCUUUGUGCAGAAGGAACAGCGAUGAGACUGUGCCUUUGAGAGAAUGAUUGGCUCAACUUGUGCACCUGAGGUCCGGACAGAAAGAAAAGGCAAAGCCAAAAUCACUCUUAGAAAUGAUAUUCCCAACUUUAGGACGGCACUCAUAGCUGCGCGGGCAGGAGGGAGCAAGGAUAUGGGCAGGGAUUUAGCUGUAGCUGUAAUGUGUUAGUUCUUUAAAAAAGAUAAGGAAAUCUGAAGCAAAAUGGCAAGCUGUUAACACCUGUUGAACCUGGGGAGGGGCUAUGUGGGCUUCUGUUUGAUUAUUAUUAUUAUUAUUAUUUUAAGUAAGCGCCACUUAAGGUAGGGCUUGAACCCAUGACCCCAAGAUCAAGAGUCCUAUGCUCUACGACUGAGC